rnacentral:rRNA from 1 species
GUAUAGUUGUCACAAGGGUCCGAUGUCUUCUGUUGGAACCUACAUGGGAAUGGGCAGUUCUCAGUGGAGUCUAUGUAUAGAGCUUUGAUCCAGUCAGAUGUGCCAGCUGAUAAUAAUAAGAAGAUCUGGAAGAUGAAGAUACCUCUUAAGAAUAAAAUCUUUGCGUGGUAUCUUCGUCGCAGAGUCAUUCUUACUAAAAAUAACCUUAUUAAGAGGAAUUGACAUGGAAGUACGCAAUGUGUUUUUUGUCUGCAUGAUGAGACAAUGAAACAUUUGUUCUUCCAUUGUAAAUUGGCUCGUUCUAUAUGGUUAGUCAUCCAGAUAGCUUCUGGCUUGUAUCCUCCGUGUAGUGUUGCUAAUAUAUUUGGCAACUGGUUACAUGGUACUGAUCACAGGUUUAGAAUUCUUCUCAGGGUAGGAGCGCUUGUCGUGAUUUGGUCGCUUUGGCUAUGUAGAAAUGAUAAGGUUUUUAAUGAUAAAAGUACUUCCCAUAUGCAGGUUAUCUACAGAUGUACCGGGACACUUCGUUUAUGGUCCUCUCUACAGCGAGUGGAGAAUCGAUACCUGUUUGUGGAGGUGUGUACAUGA